ACUGGAGCUGUCCAGCUUCCGCGCCUUCAGCUCGCGCUUCACAAACAACGCGGUCCUCGGCUGCGGGAUAUUUGUUUGACUGGGACACACACACACACACACACACACACACACACAACAGUAGGCUGUGGUACAGUGGCCGCCGCGAUUACACACGCAUAGCCUUCACUGAUGAAAGCAACGCUUGAAAUGACUGCUGGCAGCGCGUGAGGAGAGGAGCAGAAGAAAUCCAGUCCCAAGUACCGGAGCACCAUCCAAUUUCCUCCAGCCAUGGGUGUGCUGAUGUCCAGGAAGCAGCAGGUGGAGAAGGUGCAGAAGUGCAGUGUGGUGGUGUCAGCGUUUAAAGACGGUCUGAAGGAUCGGGCGGCCCCAGCAGAUGCGGCCCAGACUGAAGAGGUCAUAGCGGAGAACGGGGAUGAAUCUGCUGAAGGAUCCCACCAGGCUAACAAAGACCACACUGAGCAGAAAGACAAGGACAGUAAACCAGGCUCAUUACCAAAUCAGCAGGCCUCAGCUUCAUCCAGAGAGGAACACAGGGCCAAUCAGGAGGCUUGGGGGCGUCUCCGUGACGGGAAGGGGGUGGAGCCUGAGGAUCUAAAGAAGGCGCAUCAGCUCACUCCUCCGACGUUUGUGCGGCCGAAGAGAGAGGUCGACGACGACCAACCGCUCGACGUCUCGCUUGGGCAAACCGAGCAGCACGUCAAUGAUGAGAUGUGUGAGGUGUGUGAGGUUUGGACGGCGGACGAUCUGUUCCCCUGCGGGACGUGCACGCGGGUCUUCCACGACGGCUGUCUGCGGGAGAUGGGCUACCUGAGCACUGAAGCCCUGCAGGAGAUGAGAGAGACAGCCCACACCACCACCGGCUGGAGCUGCUAUUACUGCGAUAAUGUGAACCUGCUGCUUACUGAAGAAGAGAUGUACAGUCUGAUGGAGACCUUCAAGCAGUGCAAGAUCAUUCCAGAGUCGUGCCUGGUGUCAGAUGAACUCCUUCAGUACAGGCACUUUGUUACCAAGCAGCUCUUUGAACGAGACUUGACCGAUGAAGAGGAAGAGGAGGUUCUGGCUCAGUUUGCAGCACUGGAUCCAGAGAAGAAGGGUCAGAUUGAGUGGUCUGACUUCCUCUACCACGAGUCGCUCUCAGUGCUGCAGAAAUUCCGGACUGAGAAUUCGCUGGUGAGAAUCCUCACAGCGAAGGAGAGGGAUCGGGCACGGGCCGUUUUCCAGAGUCUAGACCAGGACAAAGAUGGGAUCAUUACUGCCGGAGAAGCCAGAAGAGCCCAAACCUCCUGGUUCCACAAGAUUAACAAAGAAUCACAGUCCUGCAGUGUCAGACUCAUUGGAUUGUGUUCCCCUUUGUUCAGUAUGGGUAUCAGCCAUGUUGGUCCAAUAUCUGAGAGCAGUCCUGCCAGUUCCAGCAGCGAGAGAAGCAGAGAUAAAGCCAUGGAGAAUGACAACAGACCGUUUACCUGGGAUAACUUCCUGAGGGAGAGCGCCAUCUACAUCCUGGCCGCCAGGCCCAACAGCUCAGCCAUGCACAUCCGUUUGCCACUCUAACCGCGGCCACGUAGCCUGAGACUUCCAGAGGGGCUUCCCGGGUCCAGAUUUAUGAGCAAGAGGGAUGGAUCAUGGACCAGGCCAAGGGGCUUCCAGACUGCCAGGGGCCUUAAGCUGAGUCAAGUGAAAACAAAGGAAACAUAAAAAUUGUUAUUGACAGACAAACGCUACUUGUAAUUAAGAUACAAGAGUAAGAAGAUCGACAUCAGUAUGAGUUUCCAGUCACUUGACAAAUCGCAUUAUGAGAAGUUGUGAUUCUUAAUUUUCUACUUCCAUAUUGUAUUUCUGAGUGAAAGAGGAUAUGUAAUGUGGAAAAAGUAGGGCAGAACUUGAUUUCUAUCUAUGGGGAAUUGAUUGGAUUGUGAAAUAAGGUCUUUUUGAUUCGUUUCUAAAACUUAGUGAGCUGCCAACUUAAGCAGUAUUUAAGGCACCAUAGGCAUGUUCCUGAAGCAAAAUGUGUUCCAAAAUGUACAGGCAGCAUAAAUUAGUAAAUCAAUAUUGAA